UACGUAGGUGACCAGCGUUGUCCGGAUUUACUGGGCGUAAAGAGCGCGCAGGCGGUCGUUCAAGUCGAGUGUGAAAGCCCCCGGCUCAACUGGGGAGGGUCACUCGAUACUGAUCGACUUGAAGGCAGGAGAGGGAAGCGGAAUUCCCGGUGUAGUGGUGAAAUGCGUAGAUAUCUGGAGGAACACCGGUGGCGAAGGCGGCAUUCUGGACCGACAUGACGCUGAGGAGCGAAAGCCAGGGGAGCAAAGCGGG
rnacentral:rRNA from 1 species